rnacentral:lncRNA from 1 species
ACUCCAAUUUCUCCCUUUCUUUUCUCCCCAGAGUCAUCUUUACGGAUGCAGCAAGAAGUCAACCUUAAGAAAAAGUCCAUUCAGUCAUUCACUGUUCUAAGUGUUGAAAGGGAUAUACAGAUGAAUUACAAAAGCAAGAAAAGAAGAUUGGCUGGAUUAUGAAAUUCCAUAAAGAAAAGCUUGAUCACCAGCAAUGUUCCAGAAAGUGACUGCUCUAUUGGACUGGGUCCUGAUGUGAAGAAAGGAAUGAAGUGGAACAAAGCCCUUAGCCAACCCACCAUGGAAGUAAUGUGAACCAGAAAUAAGCCUUUGUUGUUUUAACCACUGUG